UAUAGUUUGAUCAUGGCUCAGAUUGAACGCUGGCGGCAUGCCUUACACAUGCAAGUCGAACGGUAACAGGUCUUCGGACGCUGACGAGUGGCGAACGGGUGAGUAAUACAUCGGAACGUGCCCAGUCGUGGGGGAUAACUACUCGAAAGAGUAGCUAAUACCGCAUACGAUCUGAGGAUGAAAGCGGGGGACCUUCGGGCCUCGCGCGAUUGGAGCGGCCGAUGGCAGAUUAGGUAGUUGGUGGGAUAAAAGCUUACCAAGCCGACGAUCUGUAGCUGGUCUGAGAGGACGACCAGCCACACUGGGACUGAGACACGGCCCAGACUCCUACGGGAGGCAGCAGUGGGGAAUUUUGGACAAUGGGCGAAAGCCUGAUCCAGCAAUGCCGCGUGCAGGAUGAAGGCCUUCGGGUUGUAAACUGCUUUUGUACGGAACGAAAAAGCUCCUUCUAAUACAGGGUGGCCCAUGNACGGUACCGUNCAGAAUCNUGCUCCGGCUAACUACGCUGCCAGCAGCCCGCGGUANAUCUUUUCCCCGCUNACGCGGGCUUGCCGNACGGCCGGUUCUCACAACUUCCNGCAGACNUUCUCACCCUGGGGCGCCCGCCUNNAACACAUGCCNGUCUGUCUGCCCCCCUGCCGCCGCCGUCUCUUCNUCUGUCCGNCNNCCCCCCCGCUNUCNCUUCNCCGCGUCCCCCCCCCCCGGGNGNCUUCUCACCUCCNUNNUNGGGCCNCCCCUGCCCUUUCUUGGCCCCCCC
rnacentral:rRNA from 1 species